AUUUAAUUUUCGAUCUUCAAAAAAUUAUCCUUCGUUCUUAUUUAUCGAGGUACUAUAAUGAUACCAUAAAAUUAAGCAAUUAGUAAUGAAUUUAACUCACGCUAUAUUAGCUGCUCGACGUUUCGCGUUUAAAAUGGACAUUUUAACAAACGUUCCCCAUUCUCUGAGCCUCUCCUAAUUGUUUCUCGAUACUCUCUCUCGGCUAGUUCAACGAAUUCAUUAAUAUCUACCAUGGCCGUUAAAAUCGGUCUAUCAACGAGCCGUGUAGCACGUAACGCGCUUCCAUUAAUCUCCGAUUAAUACGCAUCGCACAUCCAACGAGUGGAAAACUGUGUAAUUUACGAUCCUCCAUCUGCGCGUAAAUAAAUCCGUGCGCGUUAGAGCGUUAAAAAAAAACAUCAGUGGAAUUGUCGUGUCGUCUUUCUGACGAAAUUCUUGCUCAAUAAGAGAAAAAAGGAAAAAAGAAGAAA